AUGCUGGAGGUAUCAGAAGUGCGAAUGCUGACAUAAGUAACGAUAAAGCGGGUGAAAAGCCCGCUCGCCGGAAGACCAAGGGUUCCUGUCCAACGUUAAUCGGGGCAGGGUGAGUCGACCCCUAAGGCGAGGCCGAAAGGCGUAGUCGAUGGGAAACAGGUUAAUAUUCCUGUACUUGGUGUUACUGCGAAGGGGGGACGGAGAAGGCUAUGUUGGCCGGGCGACGGUUGUCCCGGUUUAAGCGUGUAGGCUGGUUUUCCAGGCAAAUCCGGAAAAUCAAGGCUGAGGCGUGAUGACGAGGCACUACGGUGCUGAAGCAACAAAUGCCCUGCUUCCAGGAAAAGCCUCUAAGCAUCAGGUAACAUCAAAUCGUACCCCAAACCGACACAGGUGGUCAGGUAGAGAAUACCAAGGCGCUUGAGAGAACUCGGGUGAAGGAACUAGGCAAAAUGGUGCCGUAACUUCGGGAGAAGGCACGCUGAUAUGUAGGUGAAGUCCCUCGCGGAUGGAGCUGAAAUCAGUCGAAGAUACCAGCUGGCUGCAACUGUUUAUUAAAAACACAGCACUGUGCAAACACGAAAGUGGACGUAUACGGUGUGACGCCUGCCCGGUGCCGGAAGGUUAAUUGAUGGGGUUAGCGCAAGCGAAGCUCUUGAUCGAAGCCCCGGUAAACGGCGGCCGUAACUAUAACGGUCCUAAGGUAGCGAAAUUCCUUGUCGGGUAAGUUCCGACCUGCACGAAUGGCGUAAUGAUGGCCAGGCUGUCUCCACCCGAGACUCAGUGAAAUUGAACUCGCUGUGAAGAUGCAGUGUACCCGCGGCAAGACGGAAAGACCCCGUGAACCUUUACUAUAGCUUGACACUGAACAUUGAGCCUUGAUGUGUAGGAUAGGUGGGAGGCUUUGAAGUGUGGACGCCAGUCUGCAUGGAGCCGACCUUGAAAUACCACCCUUUAAUGUUUGAUGUUCUAACGUGGACCCGUGAUCCGGGUUGCGGACAGUGUCUGGUGGGUAGUUUGACUGGGGCGGUCUCCUCCUAAAGAGUAACGGAGGAGCACGAAGGUUGGCUAAUCCUGGUCGGACAUCAGGAGGUUAGUGCAAUGGCAUAAGCCAGCUUGACUGCGAGCGUGACGGCGCGAGCAGGUGCGAAAGCAGGUCAUAGUGAUCCGGUGGUUCUGAAUGGAAGGGCCAUCGCUCAACGGAUAAAAGGUACUCCGGGGAUAACAGGCUGAUACCGCCCAAGAGUUCAUAUCGACGGCGGUGUUUGGCACCUCGAUGUCGGCUCAUCACAUCCUGGGGCUGAAGUAGGUCCCAAGGGUAUGGCUGUUCGCCAUUUAAAGUGGUACGCGAGCUGGGUUUAGAACGUCGUGAGACAGUUCGGUCCCUAUCUGCCGUGGGCGCUGGAGAACUGAGGGGGGCUGCUCCUAGUACGAGAGGACCGGAGUGGACGCAUCACUGGUGUUCGGGUUGUCAUGCCAAUGGCACUGCCCGGUAGCUAAAUGCGGAAGAGAUAAGUGCUGAAAGCAUCUAAGCACGAAACUUGCCCCGAGAUGAGUUCUCCCUGACCCUUUAAGGGUCCUGAAGGAACGUUGAAGACGACGACGUUGAUAGGCCGGGUGUGUAAGCGCAGCGAUGCGUUGAGCUAACCGGUACUAAUGAACCGUGAGGCUUAACCUUACAACGCCGAAG
rnacentral:rRNA from 1 species